CACGCAAACAUUUUUAUGGAAAAUUUGAUUCUAUUUCUUUUUUUAAGAUUUUUAACGUUUACCGCUUGCAUAAAGUGGACUUAGUUUUCUACUUAUGAAUUUUUAAAAACCGCUUCAACGAAAAUCGACCCAGGUUCGGAAACGGCCUUUGAUGACGUAGUAGUGAGAACUCAUUCCAGAAAUUAGCUCCCUCGCCAUUGGCGAGUAAGGUGUUCAACCUCUGUUUUUGGCGUUUAAAUCUAGUUUCUCGUCGCGUAGUUUCAUAGAGAUUGAAACUAUAAUGUAUUGUUAAGCAUAAAUGCUGAGGCAUAAGAAGUUCUGAAUGUGAGGGAUCAAGACACGGUGUUUUAUGUAAUGAUCGUACCGGUACUGACCACCCGUCAGAAGGCUUUGAAGAACUGAUCAUAGAUGCACACUGCUAUUAACAACACAGUCCAGCUGUUAUCGAUCAACAACUAAUGGAGAUUCGUGACAACACAUUUAUUGGCAUGAAUGAAUUACAUAUGAUGAAAACUUGUAAUAAAAUUUCAAAAAUAAAUAAAAACAGAUUUGAAUAACUGCGUGAGGUCUUGUUGUUUCGGGCUGUGGGUAGUAGAAGUUUGCAUGGAUUCCAACAUAAUUUUAAGGCUGAAACGAUCCUUCGACUUAGAGGUCUUAUUUUAGUUCCAUGGAAACACAUCAAAAAAGGUAACUUGCGAAAAUUAUAUCCAUAGUUUUCUGCUUCAAGACAGAUCCAUCCCUGUGAAAUCUGCUGUAACCACCAACUACACAUUCCAUUCGUUACGGUAGUGUAUGCGCAUAUACCGGUAUAAUCAGAUAGUUUAUAUAUACCGAAAAUAUACUAAAAAGACUAGUUAUAGGAUCAGAUAAGCAGAGUAAACACACAUGAAUUAUAAAAUCUGGAUCAUUUGAGAAAAAAUGGCCUGGUAUGCGCUUUUUCACUAGAAAAUAUAUUACAGCAAAAGGGCCGGCACAGAACUUGAGUACGUCUUGACCUCGAUUAGUUGAGUUUACUGCAAUUUCUCAUAAUGCAAUAAAAUUAGUUAAAGAUAUUGGUAUUGAUUUAAAUCACAAAAGCUUCCUUCAAAUCCGCCGCCCAAUAGAACUAGCACACGGUUCAAAAUAAGUACACAGAAUGCUGUAAUUGCCUUUGACCUAAUGCAAAGUUUCGCCGACGAGUUCUCACCACUACGUCAUCAACGGGACAUACUAAUUUGCGUUCGAUUUCGGCAGGGUCGACUUUUAAAAAUUCGAGUCUCGCAAACGAAGUCCAUUUUAUGCAAACGGUAACCGCCAAAAAUCUUAAUAAAUUAUAUAGAACCAAAUUUGCUACAAAAAUGUUUGCGUGAUAACCCACCUUUAAGUUGUGUGACAGGACUCAGGAGUCAUGAGGGACCUCAUAAGGUUUUCAGGCAGCAACACCUAAAAUGCUCGCUGAUUCAGGUUAGUGAGCACAAAAGGUUAAUAAAAACACCAAAACACUUCAAAAA